CCUACGGGCGUCAGCAGUGGGGAAUAUUGCACAAUGGGGGAAACCCUGAUGCAGCGACGCCGCGUGAGCGAGGAAGUAUUUCGGUAUGUAAAGCUCUAUCAGCAGGGACGAAAAAAGACGGUACCUGACUAAGAAGCACCGGCUAACUACGUGCAAGCAGCUGCGGGAAUAAGUAGGGGGCAAGCGUUAUCCGGAUUUACUGGGGGUAAAGGGACCGUAGACGGGAAGGCAAGGCAGAAGUGAAAGGGCAGGGCUCAACCCUGGACUUGCUUUUGGAAAUGUGGUGCUAGAGUGCAGGAGAGGUAAGUGGAAUUCCUGGUGUAGCGGUGAAAUGCGUAGAUAUUAGGAGGAACACCAGUGGCGAAGGCGGCUUACUGGACUGUAACUGACGUUGAGGCUCGAAAGCGUGGGGAGCAAACAGGAUUAGAUACCCGAGUAGUC
rnacentral:rRNA from 1 species